GCCCCCGUAGCUCAGCGGAUAGAGCGCCGGUUUCCUAAACCGGGCGCCCAGGUUCGACUCCUGGCGGGGGCA
rnacentral:tRNA from 1 species